AUUCAGUAGAAACUACACUUCAGAAUUUGAAUUUUGUUCUUUUCUCAGGCUAGCAAUAUAUGGUACAAUACUCUCGUGAUGCAGGGCAGCAGCGGUGAGCCUCAGCAGCCAGGCAGCCGUGCAAUCACAAGGGUCAGGAGUUUGGUUAAGGAUUUUAACCUAGGAGUAAGUUGGAGUGACAAUAACUCAAAUAACUCAAAGAAUUGAGAAUUUGAAUUGCUCAAAGAAGAAACAGAUGUAUGUAUUUACAGAUAUAUAUUUGGAUGUAUAGAUAGAACUACAUAUAUGUAUCUAUAGAUACAUAGUAUAUGUAUGUAUUUAUUUAUAGAAACAAAAAUCUACAUAUAAUAUUUUAACUUUUUACUUAUUAACCCUUUCAGUUAUUAUUGCUAGAUUAUCCAGGUCAAUGCUUAGUUUUUAUUUUGGUUUGUUUGUUUUCUUUUCUUGUUGUCCAAAUUAAAUUAUUUAGGUAUGCUCACGCCUGUAAUCCCAGCUCUUUGGGAGGCCGAGACUGGUGGAUCAUGAGGUCAGGAGAUCGAGACCAUCCUGGCUAACACGGUGAAACCCCGUCUCUAAUAAAAAUGCAAAAAAAUUAGCUGGGCCUGG
rnacentral:lncRNA from 1 species